rnacentral:tRNA from 1 species
GCCUCCGUAGCUCAGCUAGGUAGAGCACCCGGCUGUUAACUGGGCGGUCGCAUGUUCGAUUUCGUUGUUCAAUCUCUGAGCAAGAAGAAAACCAUGCCGGGGGCG